GCCGGUGUGGCGCAAUGGUAGCGCGCCAGACUUCUAUUUUAGAAGUACAUCUGGAUGUUGCGGGUUCGAGCCCCGCCAUUGGCU
rnacentral:tRNA from 1 species